UUUUGGAAGGAGCAUGUUAGCUACCCACAGCCUUUCUGGAAAAAUUGGAAAUGCCAACAAGGAAUCACAAGCCAAGCCCCCUCUGGACCCCACAAAAGUGGAACUUAUUAUAGACACUGUUUCGAAGAAAUUUCCAGAAACUCCACGAAAGUUUCUUCGGGCUGCUUUACGGGAAAAAUUGAAUGAUGAACAUAAACUCCUUAGCAGGCAUCAUAAGAAGGACACUGUUACGCUGCAACACUGAGUGGUGAAGCACAUAAGAGAGUCCAGAGUUAUUGGUUUCUGAAGAAUGAUGGGCCACGUUCUGUUCAGAGUGUUCAUUUUCGUCACACUUAUCUCAUUUUAUCUUUAAGCUCUUUUGACUAAUAAAUAAUUCACAAUUAA